rnacentral:lncRNA from 1 species
AAUACUCCUCAAUAAUGCAAUUAUGCAUGUGGUACCAUAAUUCAGGGCCGUGACCCACACCGCUGUCGAAUGGUUAAAGCAUUCUCAACAGGACCUAAGUCCUCACCGCUCCACACCGCAUUGAACAACUAGUGUUCCACCGCUUUGAACGACAAGGCGUUCCAGAGCCGAAGCUCUCCCACUUGAUGUUUAUGCAACUACCCAACCUGUGUAUAUCUACAUACAACUCAACUAUUACAU